UUUAUGGAGAGUUUGAUCCUGGCUCAGAGUGAACACUGGCGGCGUGCCUAACACAUGCAAGUCGUGCGAAAUUUUGCAGAGUAUCGCAGAAUUUAGCGGCAAACGGGUGAGUAACACGUAGGAAACCUCCCUCAAAAUGGGGAAUAUCUCCGAGAAAUCGGAGUCAAUACCGCAUAAUACCACAGCUUGGCAUCAAGCAGGGGUUAAAGCAGUAAUGCGUUUUGAGAUGGUCCUGCGGCCUAUCAGCUAGUUGGUGGGGUAAAGGCCUACCAAGGCUAUGACGGGUAUCCGGCCUGAAAGGGUGAACGGACACACUGGAACUGAGACACGGUCCAGACUCCUACGGGAGGCAGCAGUGGGGAAUUUUGGACAAUGGGGGCAACCCUGAUCCAGCGACGCCGCGUGGAGGACGAAGGUCUUCGGAUUGUAAACUCCUUUUAGAGGGGACGAAAAAAUGACGGUACCCUCAGAAAAAGCCACGGCUAACUACGUGCCAGCAGCCGCGGUAAUACGUAGGUGGCGAGCGUUACUCGGAAUUACUAGGCGUAAAGCGUAUGUAGGCGGUUAGAUAAGUCUCUAGUGGAAUUUCUCGGCUCAACCGAGACACGCCUAGGGAUACUGUUUGGCUUGAGUGUAGGAGGGGGAGACGGAAUUCCUGGUGUAGCGGUGGAAUGCGUAGAUAUCAGGAGGAACACCGAUGGCGAAAGCAGUCUCCUGGACUAAUACUGACGCUGAUGUACGAAAGCUAGGGUAGCAAACAGGAUUAGAUACCCUGGUAGUCCUAGCUGUAAACGAUGUUCACUAGAUGUGGGAGGUAUCGACCCCUUCCGCGUCGACGCUAACGCAUUAAGUGAACCGCCUGGGGAGUACGGCCGCAAGGUUGAAACUCAAAGGAAUUGACGGGGGCCCGCACAAGCGGUGGAAUAUGUGGUUUAAUUCGACGCAACGCGAAGAACCUUACCUGGGCUUGAACUGCUAGUGGUAAAAGCUGGAAACAGUGAUGACCCGCAAGGGAGCUAGUAGAGGUGCUGCAUGGCUGUCGUCAGCUCGUGUCGUGAGAUGUUGGGUUAAGUCCCGCAACGAGCGCAACCCUUAUCCCAUGUUACCUGUAGCAAUACAGGGUCUCUGAGGAAACUGCCAUUGAUAAAAUGGAGGAAGGUGGGGACGACGUCAAGUCAUCAUGGCCUUUAUGUCCAGGGCUACACACGUAUUACAAUGGUCGGUACAGAGGGUAGCAAUAUCGCAAGGUGGAGCAAAUCCCAAAAAGCCGACCCCAGUUCAGAUUGUGGGCUGCAAUUCGCCCACAUGAAGUAGGAAUCGCUAGUAAUCGCAGAUCAGCAGGCUGCGGUGAAUACGUUCCCGGGCCUUGUACACACCGCCCGUCACACCACGAAAGUCAGUCAUAACAGAAGUCGUUGAGCUAACCGCAAGGGGGCAGGCGCCUAAGUUAUGGUUGGUGAUUGGGGUGAAGUCGUAACAAGGUAGCCGUACGAGAACGUGCGGCUGGAUCACCUCCUUU
rnacentral:rRNA from 1 species